UACGUAGGGAGCAAGCGUUGUCCGGAUUUAUUGGGCGUAAAGAGCUCGUAGGCGGCUUAGAAAGUCAGGUGUGAAAACUCUGGCUUAACCCAGAGACGCCACUUGAUACUUCUAUGGCUUGAGUUCGGUAGGGGACCAGUGGAAUUCCUGGUGUAGCGGUGAAAUGACGCAGAUAUCAGGAGGAACACCGAUGGCGAAGGCAGUGGUCUGGGCCGAUACUGACGCUGAGGAGCGAAAGCGUGGGGAGCGAACAGG
rnacentral:rRNA from 1 species